rnacentral:rRNA from 1 species
GACGAACGCUGGCGGCGUGCCUAAUACAUGCAAGUAGAACGCUGAAGGAGGAGCUUGCUUCUCCGGAUGAGUUGCGAACGGGUGAGUAACGCGUAGGUAACCUGCCUGGUAGCGGGGGAUAACUAUUGGAAACGAUAGCUAAUACCGCAUAACAGUAGAUAUCGCAUGAUAUCUGCUUGAAAGGUGCAAUUGCAUCACUACCAGAUGGACCUGCGUUGUAUUAGCUAGUUGGUGAGGUAACGGCUCACCAAGGCGACGAUACAUAGCCGACCUGAGAGGGUGAUCGGCCACACUGGGACUGAGACACGGCCCAGACUCCUACGGGAGGCAGCAGUAGGGAAUCUUCGGCGAUGGACGGAAGUCUGACCGAGCAACGCCGCGUGAGUGAAGAAGGUUUUCGGAUCGUAAAGCUCUGUUGUAAGAGAAGAACGAGUGUGAGAGUGGAAAGUUCACACUGUGACGGUAGCUUACCAGAAAGGGACGGCUAACUACGUG